GCGGUAAGUUUUCUCAUGGGGGCAAAGUUCCUCACGAGCUCUUCGAGGACACAGCCCACCUGGCACCACACGGUGUCCCCUCGGGCAUGGCCAGGAAUUUGUCCAACACUCGGCUUGCCAAAGAUGUCAAGCAAGAAUAUGGGUCAGUGACCAAUGAUAAUGGCUCUUCAUUUGCUGUUCAAGGACAAAGAGACGGUCAGUUAAGAACAGCCAGCAGGCGACAGGAGGAAAAUCCUCU
rnacentral:sRNA from 1 species